AUAUUAAAUGGCCGCAGUAUUCUGACUGUGCAAAGGUAGCAUAAUCAUUUGUUUUUUAAUUGAAAACUGGAAUAAAAGAGUUGACGUAAAAUAAGCUAUUUAUUUAAAAAAUUAGAUUGACAUUAGAAUAAAAAGGUUCUAAUUCAAUAGAAAGACGAUAAGACCCUGUGAAAUUUUACUUAAUAAAUAUAAUAAAUCAUAGAAUUAUAUUAUAUCAAUAAGUUGAACUGGGGCGGUAAAUUUAUUUAAUCUAUUUAAAUAUAAAUACAAAAAUGUAAUUUUUAAUAACCUUAAUAUAUAAAAUUAAACAAAUUACUCCAGGGAUAACAGCACAAUUCCUUUUGAUAGAACAUAUAGGUAAAGGAGUUUGUGACCUCGAUGUUGAAUUGAAAAUUCUUAUUGAAGCAAAAAUUAAUAAUGUUAGUCUGUUCGACUAUUAAAUUUUC
rnacentral:rRNA from 1 species